CUUUGGAGAAAACCUUUGACAGUUAACUGCUGACAAAGUAGAUAUAACGGGACCUUGAUAUCUGCUGAGGUUUAACCCCAGGACCCUCUUAUGGAUACCAAAAUCCAUGGGUGAUCCCGUCCCAUUAUAUACAAUGGUCUGGGACACUGAUGCCUGUGCUGCUGAUUUGUGGAUGGGAUCCAUUCUUGGACUGCUUAUAAAAAGGAAUGAGGUUUAUGAUAUACAGUAAGAACCCCAUAUCUGUAGGGGAUGCAUUCCCAGAUUUCACAUGGAUAAAAACAACAACAACAACAACAACAACCAGCAGAUAAUAGCAAACCCUAUUGAAAUUAAGAAUUUGAAACAAGGCAUGCCAUAGAAUCACUCUGGAGGACCUAGAAAUGCCUAGAGAGAACUUAUUAUUUUGAACAAGGGUAAACUAAACUGUAUAUUGGUUCCGUAAAUAUGGAGCUAGUACUAUAAAGACAAGGAAUUAAACCCAGGUUCCCACCUUAUCCUUCCAAGGGUAUUGGAAAAUUUUCCUUUGAGGACAAGGGUGGAAGAGGAAUACAGAAAGAUUAAAAGGCUGUGACAGUGGAGCAGCCAACAGACAUUAAAACAACCCACGUAUAGCCAUCUGGCACAAAUGACUUUGCCUUCUUCCAAUGUACAACAUACAGAAGUGCUGGUUUAGAAUGUACCUGGUAAUCGUGAUGGGAUUAUUGCAUCCACGCUUUCUUUUCUUCUGUUGAGUCACCAUUGGAUGUCAGUUCCAUUUCACCGAUCCCUGAGAGAGUCCAAGGGAACACAAAUGAUGCUCAACAAGCAGUCUUUUCCUCUCCUCCUCCCACUGUCUUCCUUCUUCCAAAGACAGUAGGUGAAACGUCACCACUUAGCCCUGAAGUUGUUCACCAUCCACUUCACCAACAGAUUCCUGUUUUGGUGGAUAUGUGCAUAUAUGCAUAAGGUGGAGGAGUCUCAAACUUGCAGGCAGGUUCCUAAGAGCAUUUCUGUGUCAUAACGUUUUAGCCAACCUUGCCUUUGUUUGUCUUGAAGGUGUGGGUUUGCAGAUUGGUGCAAGCAGCCACGUUUAUGAAAGCUUAAGCAAUUAUAUAGAGAAAAAGAUCGAUAUGAAAAUAUGAGGAGGUUUAAUAUUAAGACUUCCCAACUUUGUCUGUGUGAAAUGUUGAAGCUAUCAUUUUCUAGAGAGAGAUGUUAAAACCUCACCGUCUGUUGCUGAUUUGAGAGUUCCAAUGCUAUCGUCUGUGAGAUCAUAAUUGAAGAGUGAUGGAAAAUCUGGCACGAGGGAAGCUCAUCUUCUUUAAAACUAAACAAGUCAGUUCAGAGUUCAUUUUGUCAAGCUACUGAAAGAAUUUCAACCGUCGACUAGGCAACUUCAAUGCAAAACGUAUUGGCAGUACUUACAACUUGAAAAACACCAUAUGCUUCUGAAAUAAAGACCUAAACCAUUACUAGC